AUACGUAGGGGGCAAGCGCUAUCCGGAAUUCUUGGGCGUAAAGCGUGCGUAGGUGGUUACCUAAGCGCAAGGUUUAAUCUUGAGGCUCAACCUCAUUCUGCCUUGCGAACUGGGCUACUUGAGUGCUGGAGGGGAAAGCGGAAUUCCUAGUGAAGAGGUGAAAUGCGUAGAUAUUAGGAAGAACACCGGUGGCGAAGGCGGCUUUCUGGACAGUAACUGACACUGAGGCACGAAAGCGUGGGGAGCAAACAGGAUUAGAUACCCUGGUAGUCCACGCCGUAAACGAUGAGCACUAGUUGUUGGGUCCGAAUGGAUUCAGUGACGCAGUUAACGCAAUAAGUGCUCCGCCUGGGGAGUACGGUGGCAACACUAAAACUCAAAUGAAUUGACGGGG
rnacentral:rRNA from 1 species